rnacentral:rRNA from 1 species
CCUACGGGUGGCAGCAGUGAGGAAUAUUGGUCAAUGGACGAGAGUCUGAACCAGCCAAGUAGCGUGAAGGAUGCCUGCCCUAUGGGUUGUAAACUUCUUUUAUAUGGGAAUAAAACGUUCCACGUGUGGGAUUUUGUAUGUACCAUAUGAAUAAGGAUCGGCUAACUCCGUGCCAGCAGCCGCGGUAAUACGGAGGUUCCGAGCGUUAUCCGGAUUUAUUGGGUUUAAAGGGAGCGUAGGUGGAUUGUUAAGUCAGUUGUGAAAGUUUGCGGCUCAACCGUAAAAUUGCAGUUGAAACUGGCAGUCUUGAGUACAGUAGAGGUGGGCGGAAUUCGUGGUGUAGCGGUGAAAUGCUUAGAUAUCACGAAGAACUCCGAUUGCGAAGGCAGUUCACUGGACUGCAACUGACACUGAGGCUCGAAAGUGUGGGUAUCAAACAGGAUUAGAUACCCUGGUAGUC